rnacentral:rRNA from 1 species
AAUCAACGCUGGCGGCGUGCCUCAGACAUGCAAGUCGAACGAUUAAAGCUCUCUUCGGAGAGUGCAUAGAGUGGCGCACGGGGUGAGUAACACGUAAGUAAUCUACCUUCGAGUGGGGAAUAACGUCCGGAAACGGGCGCUAAUACCGCAUAAUGCAGCGGCAUCGCAAGAUGACAGUUGUUAAAGGAGCAAUCCGCUUGAAGAGGAGCUUGCGGCAGAUUAGCUAGUUGGUAGGGUAAUGGCCUACCAAGGCUACGAUCUGUAACCGGUCUUAGAGGACGGUCGGUCACACUGACACUGAAUAACGGGUCAGACUCCUACGGGAGGCAGCAGUCGGGAAUUUUGGGCAAUGGGGGAAACCCUGACCCAGCGACGCCGCGUGA